UACGAAGGGGGCUAGCGUUGCUCGGAAUUACUGGGCGUAAAGCGCACGUAGGCGGCUUUCUAAGUCGGGGGUGAAAUCCUGGAGCUCAACUCCAGAACUGCCUUCGAUACUGAGAGUCUCGAGUCCGAGAGAGGUGAGUGGAACUGCGAGUGUAGAGGUGAAAUUCGUAGAUAUUCGCAAGAACACCAGUGGCGAAGGCGGCUCACUGGCUCGGUACUGACGCUGAGGUGCGAAAGCGUGGGGAGCAAACGGG
rnacentral:rRNA from 1 species